rnacentral:rRNA from 1 species
GCCGUUGGGGGGAUUUCCCCUUAGUGGCGAAGCUAACGCGUUAAGUUAUCCGCCUGGGGAGUACGGCCGCAAGGUUAAGACUCAAAGGAAUUGACGGGGACCCGCACAAGCGGUGGAGCAUGUGGUUUAAUUCGAUGCAACGCGAAGAACCUUACCUGGUCUUGACAUCCUGAGAACUUUCUAGAAAUAGAUUGGUGCCUUCGGGAACUCAGUGACAGGUGCUGCAUGGCUGUCGUCAGCUCGUGUCGUGAGAUGUUGGGUUAAGUCCCGUAACGAGCGCAACCCCUAUCCUUAUUUGCCAGCACAUCAUGGUGGGAACUAUAAGGAGACUGCCGGUGAUAAACCGGAGGAAGGCGGGGACGACGUCAAGUCAUCAUGGCCCUUACGACCAGGGCUACACACGUGCUACAAUGGGAAGGACAAAGAGCCGCGAAGCCGCGAGGUGUAGCUAAUCUCAGAAACCUUUUCGUAGUCCGGAUUGGAGUCUGCAACUCGACUCCAUGAAGUCGGAAUCGCUAGUAAUCGUAGAUCAGAAUGCUACGGUGAAUACGUUCCCGGGUCUUGUACACACCGCCCGUCAUACCAUGGGAGUGGGUUGCACCAGAAGUGGCUAGUCUAACUUUAUUGAGGACGGUCACCACGGUGUGAUUCAUGACUGGGGUA